AUUGAACGCUGGCGGCAGGCCUAACACAUGCAAGUCGAACGAGUGGCGGACGGGUGAGUAAUGUCGGGGACACUGCCUGGUGGGGGGGGAUAACUACGAGAAAGGAUCGCUAAUCCCACAUACCAUGAGAUGUGCCCAUAGGGGAUUAGCUUGUGGGUGGGGUAACGGCUCACCUAGGCGACGAUCCCUAGCUGGUCUGAGAGGAUGACCAGCCACACUGGAACUGAGACACGGUCCAGACUCCUACGGGAGGCAGCAGUGGGGAAUAUUGCACAAUGGGCGCAAGCCUGAUGCAGCCAUGCCGCGUGUAUGAAGAAGGCCUUCGGGUUGUAAAGUACUUUCAGCGGGGAGGCGUUACCCGCAGAAGAAGCACCGGCUAACUCCGUGCCAGCAGCCGCGGUAAUUC
rnacentral:rRNA from 1 species